rnacentral:lncRNA from 1 species
GCCGCUGCUCGUGCUGCUGCCGUCGCCUCCGCCGGUGGUUCGCCGAUGGCCGGCUUACUUCUUUCUUCCCUUUUUCUUCUUUGCUUUCCUCUUUUCGUGGGUGUUCUUCUUUUUUUUUUUUUUGAAAUUUUUUUUCUUUGCUUUUGGUUGCUUGUGGAUUGUUGAGUUUGGUUUGUUUCUUUGUGAUGAUGAAUGAGGAAUGUGGAUGGGGACAUGGGGAGAAUCGGCUGAAUCUUAGAAAUUUCAAAGCUUUUUUCUCUGUAUUUUUUUUUGCUUGACUCCCCCCUCCUUUCUCUUCAAUCCUUUCCUUUUAAUCCCAAUUUUGUCCUCUUUCUUCUUUGAUUUCAGGUGGGAGAGGAGCCGUGAUGGCCUAGGGGGUUGCUGGAGUAGCUCGGCUGGGGAGGGGUAGGCUCGCUGUUGCUGCUGCGAUUAGACAAGUCCAGGAGGACUAAAUUACAUAGGAUGCAAAGCUUUUGGGGCAAAAGUGUAAUUUUAGCAAAAAUAUGGGCUAAAAUGUAAUUUAUUAAGAGUUUAGGGGUAAAAGUGAAAUUUUGAGAAAGUUUAAGGGUUUAAAUGUAAUUUUAGAAAAUUUUGUCAAAAUGUAAAUUUUACAAAGGUUUGGGGUCAAAAUGUAAAUUUUGAAAAGUACAGGGGUCAAAAUGCAAUUUUUUUAAAAAAAAUUUAACACGAAAUUAUUC